AGAGUGGCACUGGGACCAGCGAAUUGCAUCCAUCUACAGCUGGCAUAGAGGCUUCCUGUCAAGUGCAGAUCUGCAAAUGCAGCUCUCCUACUAAGUGGCGCACUAUUGCAACUCAGGCUGCCAUUAUCACCAAGACUGUUUCUACAGAAACAUCACACAAGGAGACGCUGAAAAAAGAUGCUACCACACAAGUCAACUUCAACACCCGUGGCUGCAAAGAAAUGGGCACGCAGACCGACACUCGCACGCCUCUU